AUUUUCUUAAUAUAAUUUAGUGUAUCUGACUUCCAAUCAGAAAGUUUAGGCUUCCUAAAGAAAAUA
rnacentral:tRNA from 1 species